GACGAACGCUGGCGGCGUGCCUAAUACAUGCAACUCGAACGCACUCUCGUUUAGAUUGAAGGAGUUUGCUCCUGAUUGAUAAACAUUUGAGUGAGUGGCGGACGGGUGAGUAACACGUGGGUAACCUGCCCUAAAGUGGGGGAUAACAUUUGGAAACAGAUGCUAAUACCGCAUAAAACCUAACACCGCAUGGUGUAGGGUUGAAAGAUGGUUUCGGCUAUCACUUUAGGAUGGACCCGCGGUGCAUUAGUUAGUUGGUGAGGUAAAGGCUCACCAAGACCGUGAUGCAUAGCCGACCUGAGAGGGUAAUCGGCCACACUGGGACUGAGACACGGCCCAGACUCCUACGGGAGGCAGCAGUAGGGAAUCUGCCACAAUGGACGAAAGUCUGAUGGAGCAACGCCGCGUGAGUGAAGAAGGUUUUCGGAUCGUAAAACUCUGUUGUUGGAGAAGAAUGUAUCUGAUAGUAACUGAUCAGGUAGUGACGGUAUCCAACCAGAAAGCCACGGCUAACUACGUG
rnacentral:rRNA from 1 species